rnacentral:rRNA from 1 species
AUGACAAAGAAGAAUAAAACAUAUUAUCUGUUGGAUGGGGAGGAAGAGCCUACGAGGCCUAUACAUGGUAACUGUAUUGGCAAGGUGAUGUUCUUGACGGCCGUUGCUAGGCCGAGGUGGGACAGUGAAGGAAACGUGACCUUCUCUGGGAAAAUCAGUAUCUGGCCAUUCGUGAAGGAAGUUCCUGCUCAAAGGAGAAGCGACAACAGGCCCAGAGGUACAAUAGAGACAAAAUCAAUAAAGGUCGACAGAAAAGUGAUGAGGGAGUUCUUGAUAGAGAAGGUCUUGCCAGCAAUACAAGCUGUUUGGCCCGAAGGUGAUGCUGGACAGACCAUCUACAUUCAGCAGGAUAAUGCUAAGCCCCAUAUCUUGCCAGAUGACCCAGAAUUUCUAGAAGCUGUCGCAAAAACUGGACUUCACAUCAGAAUAAUACAACAGCCUCCCAACAGUCCUGAUUUGAAUGUGCUUGACCUUGGGUUUUUCAACUCGCUCCAAUCCCUGACAGAUUGUUUGAGUCCUAAAACACUACAAGACCUUAUUAAGGGUGUUUUGGAGGAAUUUGAAGGCUAUGACGUUUACAAGCUCAACAGAAUUUUCCUAACUCUGCAGACGUGCAUGAUUGAGAUCCUAAACCAUGCAGGGGGCAUGUGA